AGUGAACGCUGGCGGUAGGCCUAACACAUGCAAGUCGAACGGCAGCACAGUAAGAGCUUGCUCUUACGGGUGGCGAGUGGCGGACGGGUGAGGAAUACAUCGGAAUCUACUUUUUCGUGGGGGAUAACGUAGGGAAACUUACGCUAAUACCGCAUACGACCUACGGGUGAAAGCAGGGGAUCUUCGGACCUUGCGCGAUUGAAUGAGCCGAUGUCGGAUUAGCUAGUUGGCGGGGUAAAGGCCCACCAAGGCGACGAUCCGUAGCUGGUCUGAGAGGAUGAUCAGCCACACUAGAACUGAGACACGGACCAGACUCCUACGGGAGGCAGCAGUGGGGAAUAUUGGACAAUGGGCGCAAGCCUGAUCCAGCCAUACCGCGUGGGUGAAGAAGGCCUUCGGGUUGUAAAGCCCUUUUGUUGGGAAAGAAAAGCAGCAGGUUAAUACCCCGCUGUUCUGACGGUACCCAAAGAAUAAGCACCGGCUAACUUCGUG
rnacentral:rRNA from 1 species